GAUGAAGAACGUAGCGAAAUGCGAUAAUUAAUGUGAAUUGCAGAAUUCAGUGAAUCAUCGAAUCUUUGAACGCACAUUGCGCCCCUUGGUAUUCCAUGGGGCAUGCCUGUUCGAGCGUCAUUUGUACCUUCAAGCUCUGCUUGGUGUUGGGUGUUUGUCUCGCCUCUGCGUGUAGACUCGCCUCAAAACAAUUGGCAGCCGGCGUAUUGAUUUCGGAGCGCAGUACAUCUCGCGCUUUGCACUCAUAACGACGACGUCCAAAAGUACAUUUUUACACUCUUGACCUCGGAUCAGGUAGGGAUACCCGCUGAACUUAAGCAUAUCAAUAAGCGGAGGA
rnacentral:misc_RNA from 1 species